CUACGGGCUGCUCCAGUGGGGAAUAUUGGGCAAUGGGCGCAAGCCUGACCCAGCAACGCCGCGUGAGGGAAGAAUGUCUUCGGAUUGUAAACCUCUGUCCUUGGGGACGAAAAAAAUGACGGUACCCAAGGAGGAAGCUCCGGCUAGCUACGUGCCAGCAGCCGCGGUAAUACGUAGGGAGCAAGCGUUGUCCGGAAUUAUUGGGCGUAAAGGGUGCGUAGGCGGCGCUGUAAGUCAGAUGUGAAAUCCCCGGGCUUAACUCGGGAGUUGCAUUUGAAACUACAGUGCUUGAGUAAAGAAGGGGUAAGUGGAAUUCCUAGUGUAGCGGUGGAAUGCGUAGAUAUUAGGAGGAACACCAGUGGCGAAGGCGACUUACUGGUCUUUUACUGACGCUGAGGCACGAAAGCGUGGGGAGCAAACAGGAUUAGAUACCCCCGUAGUC
rnacentral:rRNA from 1 species